GUGCCUCUGUCGACUGAACAGUCCUCAACCUCAGCUCUUCAAUAUGAAGGUGAUUGGCGCAAUGCUGUUGCUUCUGGUGGCUCUGUUUGCCAUCUUGGGAUCCUCUGAGGCCAUGCCGGAGCCUGAAGCUGAUCCUGGCUUCCUCGGUGGUGGAUACUAUAGGCCUUAUUACAGACCCAUCAUCAGCUAUGGUUAUGGCGGCUAUGGUGGUUACGGAGGCUAUGGAUGGUAAACGUUUUUCUUAAAUUACGACAUUGAAAGAGAUUCUUCAGAUUCUUCAAAUGUUCCUGAAGCUACUUUGUAAUUAGGCUUAACAAUAGAUUACAGAUAAAAUAUCUUCUUUAAUUUCUUCAGUAUUUAUGCAAUAGACUGAUUUUUAAAAGCACUAUGCAGCUGUUGUUAAUUUGCAUGCAUGAUAGCUUGGCCUUCAAAAUAUUUUCUGAGAGAAAACAUAUUUUCAGAAACUCUUUAUAUCAAUUCUGUGUGGGAUAUUGGACAUGUAGUAUCAACUUUAGCCGCAAAGUUUGAUUGAAUCUACCUUUGGCUGAAAUGACUGAAUUCUUGGCCAGUCUCUUAUAGCAAAGAAAGAAUGAAAGAAGAAAGUGAAGAAUAAAGAAAGAACCCAAAUA